CCUACGGGAGGCAGCAGUGGGGAAUUUUGGACAAUGGGCGCAAGCCUGAUCCAGCAAUGCCGCGUGCAGGAUGAAGGCCUUCGGGUUGUAAACUGCUUUUGUACGGAACGAAACGGCCCUUUCUAAUACAAGGGGCUAAUGACGGUACCGUAAGAAUAAGCACCGGCUAACUACGUGCCAGCAGCCGCGGUAAUACGUAGGGUGCGAGCGUUAAUCGGAAUUACUGGGCGUAAAGCGUGCGCAGGCGGUUAUAUAAGACAGAUGUGAAAUCCCCGGGCUCAACCUGGGACCUGCAUUUGUGACUGUAUAGCUAGAGUACGGUAGAGGGGGAUGGAAUUCCGCGUGUAGCAGUGAAAUGCGUAGAUAUGCGGAGGAACACCGAUGGCGAAGGCAAUCCCCUGGACCUGUACUGACGCUCAUGCACGAAAGCGUGGGGAGCAAACAGGAUUAGAUACCCUGGUAGUCCACGCCCUAAACGAUGUCAACUGGUUGUUGGGUCUUCACUGACUCAGUAACGAAGCUAACGCGUGAAGUUGACCGCCUGGGGAGUACGGCCGCAAGGUUGAAACUCAAAUUGAAUUGACCGGNGNGAGAGNGCGAGACGACGACGAGGAGGAGG
rnacentral:rRNA from 1 species